rnacentral:lncRNA from 1 species
GCCAGAGCCGGGCUCAGGGCAGCUAACACCAAUAAAAUAAAAUCACAGUAAAAACAUAAUAGGGGAAAAGAGAGGGAGAAAAAAAACCAAUUUAAAAUACAGGUUAAAAUGUAAUUUAAAAUGCAGCCUCAUUUCAAAAGUACCCAUAGAUCAAAACCAUAAGGGGAGGGAAACAUAAGGGUCAGACUGAGUCUAAACCAAAGGCCAGGCGGAACAGCUCUGUCUUGCAGGCCCUGCGGAAAGAUGUCAAGUCCCGCAGGGCCCUAGUCUCUUGGGACAGAGCGUUUCAUCAAGUCGGGGCCAGUAGUGAAAAGGCCCUGGCCCUAGUUGAGACCAACCUAACCACCUUGAGACCUGGGACCUCCAAAGUGUUGUCAUUUGUGGACCUUAAGGUCCUCCGCGGGGCAUACCAGGAGAGGGGGUCCCGUAGGUACGUGGGUCCUAGGCCGCAUAGGGCUUCAAAGGUCAAAACCAGCACCUUAAACCUGACCCUGUACUUCACCGGGAGCCAGUGCAGUUGGUAAAGAUGACCCCUGGACCUCUCUUCCAUGCCAUGAUAUUUCCUGGGGGAGACUAACCAGCCCAAAGCCCAGCGGCCCAGGAAGGCUGAGUCGCUGCUGGGGAAGAAAUGGAAAAGUGGGUGGGAAGAGGAAGGGAAUGGAGUGUCCUGGGAAAGGAUGCCGAGUGGGAAGAUCUCAGGUGGGCGUCUAAGAGAGUUCAGCUGAACGGGGCCACAUGGGGUCUGCAACUCAUCUCCUCUACCGAGUCUUAAACCGUUUGCGUUCAGGUGUCCUUUGACCAGCUACGAUUGGUUCAACAGCCAUUCCUGGACCAGGGAAGCCUUGCCACGGUGGUUCAUGCACUGAUGACUUCAGGACUGAGUUACUGCCAUGCGCUCUAUGUGGAGCUUCCCCCGUGUCUGAUCCAGAAGCUGUAGCGAGUGCGGGAUGCGGCAGCACAAUUGCUGGCCACAGUGAGACCUCGUCUGCAUAGGAAGUCUGGGCUCAGAGGUCUGGUUACCCGUUUGAGUUCAAGCCAUUAAUCUGAGCCCGUGGGGAGGGGUCUCUUUCUGCUCCUCUGGGCAGCCUGUCCAUCUUUGAGAGUUAAUAUAGGAUGGAUAUGAUAGGAAGUGAUGUUUCCACCAUAAGCGGGAGAAAGAGAGCUGCUGCCCUCCCUCACAGGGGUGGCUGUGGACUUGCUCAAGAAAACUGCCCGCCUCGGGGGCAAGGGAGGAUGAGUUUGGAGCCCCUCCCUCCUGGGAGAAGCAUGCGACCAGUGGGCGGAGCCUCUGCGCACACCUGGGGGGCCCUCCUCCCUCCCUCCAGAAUCCCAACUGCCACCUGCCACCUGAGCUGUGGGGGGGUGGGGGUGUCCAGCUUGUUCAAAUCUGCUCAGAAACGGUUAGCGUUAGAAAGAAUGUGUAUGGUGGUAAAUGUUUUGGAAGAUUUAACAAAAAUUAUAUGGGGGGGGAGGGAAACGGUUAGUGGAGAGGGAGGACCCCUACGAAGAGAGGUUGUGGGGAGCAUUGAAGGGACAGAAUACCCAAAUCCUGUCUGUGAAAUCACCCCAGGCUUCAAUAAUCAUACCAGGCCUCAAAACUGUCCAAAAUUCCUUUUGUCUUCUAAAAAUCCAAAACAGCUUUUCUCUGCUUGUCUCUGCUUAUUCUCACAAAAUGCUGUGCAUAGGCAAAAUGUUACUUUUAAAGGCUAAUGAAUAGGCUCUGGCAUUGCCAAGAAUACUCAGGCCUGGGAAAUGAAUCUUAUCUCAUUCGGUUGCAACAUCUUGGACAUGCUGAACCACCAGGGCUCCUCGACCCCUUGGCUCUCACUCCCCUUUCCUGGGAAGGGUGCCAAGAGUCCACAAUAGUCCCAAGACAGCUUUCUGUUCAUGCUCAAAGGAACUCAUGGGCAGGACUCUGGAAGGAGGAGGAGAAAGGAGGAGGGAACUGGAAAGGGGUAUAUAUGUUUGUGCACAUGACUGUGAACUUUGUGCAUGCUUUUUGUGGACUAUCACACUUGCUCCUUCUACCAGUUCAUGGAUGGUAGAAAUAAAACCUUUUUCUCCGAAACUAUUCCUUGAGUGUCUGUUGACUCCCACUUCCCUUUCCCAGGCGCAAUGUUUUUCCCACCCGAGGGCAAAGCCUCAUAAGGCUACAGCAUCAGUGUAAGGGGGUGGGGGGCAGGACAACAGUCCCAGGUUCAUCAUCUACAGAAAAGAACCUAAGGAGACCCGUCUAAUCCAGCAUCCUCUUCGCCCAGGGCCCAACUAGAUGCUCCAAAAGGAAACUGCCAAGCAGGAUUUGCACCCAGAGCCCUCUCCUCCUCCAUGAAUUUGUCCAACCCUCUUUUAAAGCCAUCCAGGUUGGUGGCCAUGGCUGCUUCCUGUGGCAGGGAGUUCCACAGUUAAACUCUGUGCUGCGUGAAUAAGUCCCGUCUUUUAUCUGACCUGAAUCUUCCAACAUUCAGCUUCACUGCAGGUCCACAAGUUCUGGUGUUUUGAGAGAAGCAUAAUUUUAUAAACUUCUAGCAUGUCGCCUCGAACUCGCCUUUCCUCUAGACUCAAAAUGCUGCAAUUCUCAGGGGAGUCGCUCCUCUCGCUCAGUCAUUUUGGAUGCCCUUUUCCGAACCUUUUCAAAUUCUACAAUAUCCUUUUUGGAUAUUGUAGAAUUUGAAAAUAUCCAGAACUGUACGCAGUACUCCAAACUGAGUUACACCAUAGAUUUGUGCCCUCAGUUUUCUGGCUCUCAAGCGCUAACAAUCACUUCCUGAAAAUGAAUCCCAAACCACUUGUUGUUGUUGUCGUCUCAAAAGUCUGGCUGCCAAGAGAGCAUAUUUGUAAGAUUCAGUAGUCCUCACUCCUGGGGUUUGGUUCCUCCCCUGCAAAAAUUUCCCCUUAGGGGUUCAAGUAUGGUGCCUUCACACUAAUAUUCCCAGUUGGUCAGACAUUAUUCAGUACUGCAUUGCAGGACAGAGUUCAAGGAGUCUGUUGAUCUACAUUAGCUGUGAUCUACAUUGGGCAAGAGAUUCCCGCAUUGCAGGCGGUUGGGCCCUUGGGGACCCUUCCUAACCUUGUCGUGAGGAUGAAAUGGGGAGGAGGAGACCCAUGUAAAGCACUUUGAGCUCCUUGCAGGGGAAAAGGUGGCACAGAAAUGUAAUAAAUAAAUAAACUCCAUGAUUCUAUGAUUCCCGCAUUUGGGGUUGGGCUGGAUGACCCUCGGGGUCCCUUAAAUGAUAUUAUCAUUUAGCUGUGACUCCUGCAUUACAAGGGGCUGGCCAUCAUCAUAAUAAUAAUAAUAAUGAUGAUGAUGUUUUAUUUAUACCCCGCCCUCCCUGGCCAGAGCCGGGCUCAGGGCAGCUAACACCAAUAAAAUAAAAUCACAGUAAAAACAUAAUAGGGGAAAAGAGAGGGAGAAAAAAAACCAAUUUAAAAUACAGGUUAAAAUGUAAUUUAAAAUGCAGCCUCAUUUCAAAAGUACCCAUAGAUCAAAACCAUAAGGGGAGGGAAACAUAAGGGUCAGACUGAGUCCAAACCAAAGGCCAGGCGGAACAGCUCUGUCUUGCAGGCCCUGCGGAAAGAUGUCAAGUCCCGCAGGGCCCUAGUCUCUUGGGACAGAGCGUUUCAUCAAGUCGGGGCCAGUAGUGAAAAGGCCCUGGCCCUAGUUGAGACCAACCUAACCACCUUGAGACCUGGGACCUCCAAAGUGUUGUCAUUUCUGGACCUUAAGGUCCUCCGCAGGGCAUACCAGGAGAGGGGGUCCCGUAGGUACGUGGGUCCUAGGCCGCAUAGGGCUUCAAAGGUCAAAACCAGCACCUUAAACCUGACCCUGUACUUCACCGGGAGCCAGUGCAGUUGGUAAAGAUGACCCCUGGACAUCUCUUCCAUGCCAUGAUAUUUCCUGGGGGAGACUAACCAGCCCAAAGCCCAGCGGCCCAGGAAGGCUGAGUCGCUGCUGGGGAAGAAAUGGAAAAGUGGGUGGGAAGAGGAAGGGAAUGGAGUGUCCUGGGAAAGGAUGCCGAGUGGGAAGAUCCCAGGUGGGCGUCUAAGAGAGUUCAGCUGAACGGGGACACAUGGGGUCUGCAACUCAUCUCCUCUACCGAGUCUUAAACCGUUUGCGUUCAGGUGUCCUUUGACCAGCUACGAUUGGCCCAACAGCCAUUCCUGGACCAGGGAAGCCUUGCCACGGUGGUUCAUGCACUGAUGACUUCAGGACUGAGUUACUGCCAUGCGCUCUAUGUGGAGCUUCCCCCGUGUCUGAUCCAGAAGCUGUAGCGAGUGCGGGAUGCAGCAGCACAAUUGCUGGCCACAGUGAGACCUCGUCUGCAUAGGAAGUCUGGGCUCAGAGGUCUGGUUACCCGUUUGAGUUCAAGCCAUUAAUCUGAGCCCGUGGGGAGGGGUCUCUUUCUCCUCCUCUGGGCAGCCUGUCCAUCUUUGAGAGUUAAUAUAGGAUGGAUAUGACAGGAAGUGAUGUUUCCACCAUAAGCGGGAGAAAGAGAGCUGCUGUCCUCCCUCGCAGGGGUGGCUGUGGACCUGCUCAAGAAAACUGCCCGCCUCGGGGGCAAGCCCCUCCCUCCUGGGAGAAGCAUGCGACCAGUGGGCGGAGCCUCUGCGCACACCUGGGGGGCCCUCCUCCCUCCCUCCAGAAUCCCAACUGCCACCUGCGACCUGAGCUGUGGGGGGGUGGGGGUGUCCAGCUUGUUCACAUCUGCUCAGAAACGGUUAGCGUUAAAAAGAAUGUGUAUGGUGGUAAAUGUUUUGGAAGAUUUAACAAAAAUGAUAUGGGGGGGGGAGGGAAACGGUUAGUGGAGAGGGAGGACCCCUACGAAGAGAGGUUGUGGGGAGCAUUGAAGGGACAGAAUACCCAAAUCCUGUCUGUGAAAUCACCCCAGGCUUCAAUAAUCAUACCAGGCCUCAAAACUGUCCAAAAUUCCUUUUGUCUUCUAAAAAUCCAAAACAGCUUUUCUCUGCUUGUCUCUGCUUAUUCUCACAAAAUGCUGUGCAUAGGCAAAAUGUUACUUUUAAAGGCUAAUGAAUAGGCUCUGGCAUUGCCAAGAAUACUCAGGCCUGGGAAAUGAAUCUUAUCUCAUUCGGUUGCAACAUCUUGGACAUGCUGAACCACCAGGGCUCCUCGACCCCUUGGCUCUCACUCCCCUUUCCUGGGAAGGGUGCCAAGAGUCCACAAUAGUCCCAAGACAGCUUUCUGUUCAUGCUCAAAGGAACUCAUGGGCAGGACUCUGGAAGGAGGAGGAGAAAGGAGGAGGGAACUGGAAAGGGGUAUAUAUGUUUGUGCACAUGACUGUGAACUUUGUGCAUGCUUUUUGUGGACUAUCACACUUGCUCCUUCUACCAGUUCAUGGAUGGUAGAAAUAAAACCUUUUUCUCCGAAACUAUUCCUUGAGUGUCUGUUGACUCCCACUUCCCUUUCCCAGGCGCAAUGUUUUCCCCACCCGAGGGCAAAGCCUCAUAAGGCUACAGCAUCAGUGUAAGGGGGUGGGGGGCAGGACAACAGUCCCAGGUUCAUCAUCUACAGAAAAGAACCUAAGGAGACCCGUCUAAUCCAGCAUCCUCUUCGCCCAGGGCCCAACUAGAUGCUCCAAAAGGAAACUGCCAAGCAGGAUUUGCACCCAGAGCCACCCAGAGCCCUCUCCUCCUCCUCCUCCUCCUCCUCCUCC